rnacentral:rRNA from 1 species
AGUGAACGCUGGCGGUAGGCCUAACACAUGCAAGUCGAACGGCAGCACAGUAAGAGCUUGCUCUUACGGGUGGCGAGUGGCGGACGGGUGCGGAAUACAUCGGAAUCUACUUUUUCGUGGGGGAUAACGUAGGGAAACUUACGCUAAUACCGCAUACGACCUACGGGUGAAAGCAGGGGAUCUUCGGACCUUGCGCGAUUGAAUGAGCCGAUGUCGGAUUAGCUAGUUGGCGGGGUAAAGGCCCACCAAGGCGACGAUCCGUAGCUGGUCUGAGAGGAUGAUCAGCCACACUGGAACUGAGAAACGGUCCAGACUCCUACGGGAGGCAGCAGUGGGGAAUAUUGGACAAGGGGCGCAAGCCUGAUCCAGCCAUACCGCGUGGGUGAAGAAGGCCUUCGGGUUGUAAAGCCCUUUUGUUGGGAAAGAAAAGCAGCAGGUUAAUACCCCGCUGUUCUGACGGUACCCAAAGAAUAAGCACCGGCUAACUUCGUG